rnacentral:sRNA from 1 species
ACCUCAUCAACGUACUUCUUAGACUCCUCGCUGUCAAAUAUUAGGUAUGCCUUAUGAAUCGGAUGUCCACGUCAUUUUCACACGUGUCCACAAUUUCAGCGGUGUUUGAUUCAACUGAAAUGACAUGCACGA